rnacentral:rRNA from 1 species
ACCGACUGCUAUUUGGGUGAGGAUAAGCCAUGCGAGUUGAAUGGGAAACCUAAAAAUCCCAUGGCAAACUGCUCAGUAACACAUGAUCAACUUACCCUAUAGAGGAAAAUAACCUCGGGAAACUGAGGAUAAUGUUCCAUAGUUGAAUCGGCUUGGAAAAGUUUUUCAAUAAAAGGGAUAAGGAAAAUGGUCCUUAUCUGCUGUAGGAUAGGAUCGUGCUCGAUUAUGGUUGUUGGUGAGGUAAAGGCUCACCAAGCCGAUAAUCGAUAGGGGCCGUGAGAGCGGGAGCCCCGAGAUGGGUACUGAGACAGCGACCCAGGCCUUACGAGGCGCAGCAGGCGCGAAACCUCCGCAAUACACGAAAGUGUGACGGGGUUACCCAAAGUGUUCUAUUUAGAACUGUGGUAGGUGAGUAAUGUUCCCUACUAGAAAGGAGAGGGCAAGGCUGGUGCCAGCCGCCGCGGUAAAACCAGCUCUUCAAGUGGUCGGGAUAAUAUUGGGCUUAAAGUGUCCGUAGCCGGUUUAGUAAGUUCCUGGUAAAAUCGGGUAGCUUAACUAUCUAUAUGCUAGGAAUACUGCUACACUAGAGGGCGGGAGAGGUCUGAGGUACUACAGGGGUAGGGGUGAAAUCUUAUAAUCCUUGUAGGACCACCAGUGGCGAAGGCGUCAGACUGGAACGCGCCUGACGGUGAGGGACGAAAGCCAGGGGAGCGAACCGGAUUAGAUACCCGGGUAGUCCUGGCCGUAAACGAUGCAUACUAGGUGAUGGCACGGCCAUGAGCCGUGUCAGUGCCGUAGGGAAACCGUUAAGUGUGCCGCCUGGGAAGUACGGUCGCAAGGCUAAAACUUAAAGAAUUGGCGGGGGAGCACCACAAGGGGUGAAGCCUGCGGUUCA